GACAUGUAAGUGUAGCUUUUCCCCACCAUGCCCACUUUAGUGAGGUCAGAGGUGGUGCCUUUCCUCUCAUCUCAAUUUUUAAAAGGUUGAUUUUUAGGAGAAAAAUGAUAUGUUCUAACUGCCUGACUGACACAGAGGUCCAGUGUGUGACUCCCACCUGAAGGCAGGUGGCUAGCUGCUUCAAAAGCAGAGUGAAAGAAAGACAAAAGGCUCCCCUAGCUUGUGGGGCAAAAAUGAUGUGUUUUUCACAGACCAGGUGUGGGCCUCCCACGGGAGCUAACCGACGUUGGCUUGUCUUAGGUUGUUUCCAAGAAGACCACCUAAAGGGCAAACAGAGAGAAGCUGAAUGGAUGGCUGGAUUGUCAGGGCCUGAGGAGGAAGAGCCAUCUGGAAUAGAGAAGCUCUGUCAAGGGGAUGCAGGUAAAGUGACUCACAACUACCAGAUUGUGGGAACACUGAAACAGCCUAUGGAGAGCCCUCAUGGGAAGGAACUGAGGUCUUCUGCCAACAGUCAUGUGAGUGGUCAUCUCCAAAGCAGAUUGUCCAGCCCCAGCAAAGCCUCCAGAUGAUGGCAACCCUGCAGCUAGCCUGACUGCAACUGCAGGAGACUCCCUUAGCCAGAACCUCCCAGCGAAACUGCUCCUUAAUUCUUGACCCAUAGAUACUGAAAUAACAAAUGUUUGUUGUUUUAAGACACUAAAUUUUGGGAUAAUUUGUUACACAGCAAUAGAUAACAAAUGCAUACUUCUACACAUAGAUGUGGCAAGCAUUCUUAACACUGGGUGUCUUGGCGUGGGUUCCUCAGGAAACAGAGCCUGAGGAAAAGGCUAACGUGCUAAUACUAAACUAUGGAGUUUAUUGCAGGGAAGCAGGAGCAAGAGCAAACCUUAGAGUGCAUUACUAAGCAGGGCCCUGCUUGGGAUCACUUGCCACUGAUUGUUUCAUCUUGCAGGACCGAUUCUGAAAGGCUGUGAGUUCACUUGCAUCUCAGGUCAGUUUGUACAGAGGGUAGAAGUGAAGAGGAUUUAUCUAUCUGCUUUUAACUCCCUGUAGUCAAGCUUUCUUCACAGGACAUUAACACUCUAUAUUUCCUGGGUCUUUACAUGGUCUCCAAGCAGGUCCCUGGUGUCACAUGCCUUGGGAUGAACAAGGAAACACCACUUUCCUAGGCAUGGGGCAGGGCACUGCCAGGUUGUCACACCUGAGAUCAGUUGCAGCUCACACAAAAUUGGUCACCAAUUAGCAGCUCGAGCAGAACAAAUGGGCAAAGGUCCUAGACAGAUGGGGCUAAGAGGCUCUGGUGGUACAGAAGAGGUACCUGAUAGACAGGGUGUGGGUGGCACAGCGUGUUAUCUGUAAGUUUCCUCAAAACUCAGAUUUGGAAAGGGGUAAGAUCAUCAGUAAAAAUGGCCCAAAAUACUGUCUGGGAUCAGCCAAACUCCAAUCAAAGGGACCUGGACAUAACCUCAGAGACUGCAACCAGGAAACUCAGAUGCCUAAGUAAUUGAAUUAAAUCUUUAAGUCCAAAGAUGCAGGUGUUGCUAGAAAUAGAGAGUCCCAGCAGCAUUAAGAGAUGGAAGUUCAGCAAGAGAAGAGCGGGCAGCAGCUCCCACCAUGUCCAGGGCAGAGGGUACCCCAACUUGUGUACCUGAAUAUACGACCAGUAAGGCAGGUAAACCCCAAAACGAAGAUAAAGAUAAGUUGGUGACAGCAGCCAUUAAGGGCUCAUAUAGAUGAGUCCCUUUGUUCUAGUCUUGAGCUUACCAAGUAACUGCCUCUGUAUCAUUCAUCUUCCCAAGUAAACAUCCCAAAAGGGAGAGAGUGUUCCGAUACAUAAUCAAGAGGAUCAGAUUCUCUUGUCGGUUCCGGUUGGUAUGAACCAUUCAGCCCACUCAAGGUAUAGGUAUGAUCACCGUUCUUAUUUAUCCAAUUAACUGCUCAUGUUCUCCCCUGCAGGGAUGUACCAGGACGACCAGCCAGCCUUCUGCAAUGAGACCCAGUGGCCCUUUUCCCAAACCAUGGCACAGGAUUUAAAACAACCACACACAAACAAGAAGUUUAGUCUACACAGUAGAGGUGGACACGCACACACUGUAGGCAGCAUAUAGACACUGGGGUCCGGCUGGGCUGGGUCAGCAAUACUCACGGCACUUGAGGAGGAAGGGCACCUUCCUGGGCUUCCACCUAGAGGGACACUGGCACCCAGCUCUCCAGCCUGCCAGGAACUCGGCCAACCAUUCCAGGAGCACCUCUCCUCCAGGGACCAAGGAGAAAAGCUCCCUCUGCUGUUUGAUGUUGACACCAGCCUCCCACAGACAACGCUUCUAUCCAGAGGUCAGACAUCACCUCCACUGUCCAGCUUUUCUGAUGCCUCCAGACAACACAGUUCCUUCACCUAUGACCCUGUACUCCUGGGUUUUUGUCACCUUCCUCCUCGCUUAUGUGUUCGCCUGCCCUCCAGCUCCCACUAGACUCUGAGCAAGACCCCCAGGGUUCCCUCCAGAGUCCUCUGCCAUGAGGAAAAUCCUGGCAGAAAGAUUUAAAGGCA
rnacentral:lncRNA from 10 species